AGAGUUUGAUCCUGGCUCAGAACGAACGCUGGCGGCAGGCUUAACACAUGCAAGUCGAGCGCCCUGCUUGCAGGGAGCGGCAGACGGGUGAGUAACGCGUGGGAACCUACCUGGUGGUAUGGAAUAACGCAGGGAAACUUGUGCUAAUACCGUAUAAGCCCCCCUUUGGAGACAUUGGGGGGGAAAGAUUUAUCGCCAUCAGAUGGGCCCGCGUUGGAUUAGCUAGUUGGUGAGGUAACGGCUCACCAAGGCGACGAUCCAUAGCUGGUCUGAGAGGAUGAUCAGCCACACUGGGACUGAGACACGGCCCAGACUCCUACGGGAGGCAGCAGUGGGGAAUAUUGGACAAUGGGCGCAAGCCUGAUCCAGCCAUGCCGCGUGAGUGAAGAAGGCCUUAGGGUUGUAAAGCUCUUUCACCGAUGAAGAUAAUGACUGUAGUCGGAGAAGAAGCCCCGGCUAACUUCGUGCCAGCAGCCGCGGUAAUACGAAGGGGGCUAGCGUUGUUCGGAAUUACUGGGCGUAAAGCGCGCGUAGGCGGAUACUUAAGUCAGUGGUGAAAUCCCGAGGCUCAACCUCGGAACUGCCUUUGAUACUGGGUAUCUUGAGAUCGAGAGAGGUAAGUGGAAUUCCGAGUGUAGAGGUGAAAUUCGUAGAUAUUCGGAGGAACACCAGAGGCGAAGGCGGCUUACUGGCUCGAUA
rnacentral:rRNA from 1 species